CUGUCAGGUAGGAUGGGGAGUGUUGCUGCACAGCUAUUUUCAGGUCUCUUUUCAGAGAUGUUUGAUUGGGUUCAAGUCUGGGCUCUGGCUGGGUCACUCAAGGACAUACCAAACUUCUUCCAUUUCAGAAUGAUGGAGGCCACUGUGUUCUUGGGGACCUUCAAUGCUGUAGAAAUUGUUUGGUACCCUUCCCCAGAUCGGUGCCUCGACACAAUCCUGUCUCGGAGCUCUACGGACAAUUCCUUCGACCUCAUGGCUUGGUUAUUGCUCCGACAUGCACUGUCAACUGUGGGACCUUAUAUAGACAGGUGUGUGCCUUUCCAAAUAUUGUCCAAUCCAUUGACUUUACCACAGGUGGACUCAAAUCAAGUUGUAGAAACAUCUCAAGGGUUAUCAAUGGAAACAGGAUGCACCUGAGCUCAAUUUACAGUCUCAUAGCAAAUGGUUGAAUACUUACUGUUAUUGUGAUGUCUUUAUGGGGUAUUGUGAUGUCAUUAUGGGGUAUUGUGACGUCAUUAUGGGGUAUUGUGAUGUCAUUAUGGGGUAUUGUGACGUCAUUAUGGGGUAUUGUGACGUCAUUAUGGGGUAUUGUGACGUCAUUAUGGGGUAUUGUGACGUCAUUAUGGGGUAUUGUGAUGUCAUUAUGGGGUAGUGUGUGUAGGCUGAUGAGGGAAAAAAAACACGUAAUCCAUUUUAGCAUAAGGCUGUAACGUAAACAAAAUGUGGAAAGUCAAGGGGUCUGAACUUUCUGAAUGCCCUGUACGCGUUCAAAUGUGACUGUCUACAGUCUACAGUGUGAUAGUGUGUCUGAGUGUGUGUGUGUGUCUGAGUGUGUGUUUGUCUGAGUGUGUGUGUGUGUGUCUGAGUGUGUGUGUGUCUGAGUGAGUGUGUGUCUGAGUGAGUGUGUGUCUGAGUGAGUGUGUGUCUGAGUGAGUGUGUGUCUGAGUGAGUGUGUGUCUGAGUGAGUGUGUGUCUGAGUGAGUGAGUGUGUGUGUCUGAGUGAGUGUGUGUCUGAGUGAGUGUGUGUGUGUAUCUGAGUGUGUGUGUUUUUUCUCUCACUACAAUACAUGAUUUCAAGAACAAUACUUCAACCCUUCUGUUGGUCUUCAUCCAUACACAGAUAAUCCAUACGUCUUCUGUUGGUCAGUCUCUGUCCCCGUCUUGGUCGAUGAUCGGCUGUGUGAAGAUUGUCUAGUCUCUGCUGGGGUUCCUAGGGGUUCAGUGACAGUGGAAUAGUGUGGAGGUAGAGAGACUGUAGGACUGUGAGCAGGGCCAAUAUAAUAGAGAUGUACAUAUCAUUGGCAGAUCCAGCAUAGACUAGAAGGUGAGAACUAGAAUACAGUCCAUGUGUGAAUGAAUGGGAGACAUCUGGCUACAUAGCAUUUCUCUCCCUCUCUCCUGUCUGUUUCGCUCACUCAUUGUCCACCUCUCUUUCUCUUUUACUCUCUUCUCCUCUCGAUCUCUCUCUUCUCUCUCUCUCAUAGCCAUAGAGUGUGCCAGUGUCGUCCUCUUCUGGGGGAUGAUGGGUAAAACUCUGGAGCGUGAUGAUGAAAGUUACACGUACACACUAGGAAACGCAGACACCUGAGAGAGAGAGAGAGAGAGAUAGGGGAUUGGAUAAAAAGAGAUAGAGACAGGAGAGGGUGAGAGAAAGAGAAAGACAGAGACCAGAGAGAGAUGGAGAGAGAGAAAGAGAGGGUGAG
ensembl:lncRNA